UACCUCGGUUCGUUCAGUCAACUUGAUUUCCUCAUUCAAAACAUUCAUCUUCUUACUGAACUGAUGGUAAUCUGUAUCCAGCUGAUAGGCAAUCUUACUUUUCAAAUGACCAUCUUCGAGGUUAGACACAGUAUCCUCAACCAACAUAUGAGCAAUUGCCCCUAAACAUCCGAGAGCACCAAGAAACGAACAAAUCGUGUCUAUUUGGACCCUCUUAUGGUAAGCGUCUUCUGCAGCCUUACAGAAUGU